rnacentral:rRNA from 1 species
GGUUGCGAUCAUACCAGCACUAAUGCACCGGAUCCCAUCAGAACUCCGCUGUUAAGCGUGCUUGGGCGAGAGUAGUACUAGGAUGGGUGACCCCCUCGGAAGUCCUCGUGUUGCAACCC